rnacentral:rRNA from 1 species
GAUGAACGCUGGCGGCGUGCCUAAUACAUGCAAGUCGAGCGAACAGACGAGGAGCUUGCUCCUUUGACGUUAGCGGCGGACGGGUGAGUAACACGUAGGUAACCUACCUAUAAGACUGGGAUAACUUCGGGAAACCGGAGCUAAUACCGGAUAAUAUUUCGAUCCGCAUGGUUCGAUAGUGAAAGAUGGCUUUGCUAUCACUUAUAGAUGGACCUGCGCCGUAUUAGCUAGUUGGUAAGGUAACGGCUUACCAAGGCAACGAUACGUAGCCGACCUGAGAGGGUGAUCGGCCACACUGGAACUGAGACACGGUCCAGACUCCUACGGGAGGCAGCAGUAGGGAAUCUUCCGCAAUGGGCGAAAGCCUGACGGAGCAACGCCGCGUGAGUGAUGAAGGUCUUCGGAUCGUAAAACUCUGUUAUUAGGGAAGAACAAACGUGUAAGUAACUGUGCACGUCUUGACGGUACCUAAUCAGAAAGCCACGGCUAACUACGUG